UGAGGAAUAUUGGUCAAUGGGCGAGAGCCUGAACCAGCCAAGUAGCGUGCAGGAUGACGGCCCUAUGGGUUGUAAACUGCUUUUAUAAGGGAAUAAAGUGGGAGUCGUGACUCCUUUUGCAUGUACCUUAUGAAUAAGGACCGGCUAAUUCCGUGCCAGCAGCCGCGGUAAUACGGAAGGUCCGGGCGUUAUCCGGAUUUAUUGGGUUUAAAGGGAGCGUAGGCCGGAGAUUAAGCGUGUUGUGAAAUGUAGGCGCUCAACGUCUGCACUGCAGCGCGAACUGGUUUCCUUGAGUACGCACAAAGUGGGCGGAAUUCGUGGUGUAGCGGUGAAAUGCUUAGAUAUCACGAAGAACUCCGAUUGCGAAGGCAGCUCACUGGAGCGCAACUGACGCUGAAGC
rnacentral:rRNA from 1 species